UCAUGGCUCAGAAACGUACGCUGGCGGCACGCCUAACACAUGCAAGUCGAACGAAGUAGCAAUACUUAGUGGCAGACGGGUGAGUAACAUGUGGGUAUCUGCCCUUUGGCCUGGAAUAACACGAGGAAACUUGUGCUAAUACCGGAUAAGUCUUUACGGAGAAAGCUUUAUGCACCAUUGGAUGAGCCUGCACUUGAUUAGUUUGUUGGUAGGGUAAUGGCCUACCAAGACUGUGAUCAAUAGCUGAUUUGAGAGGAUGAUCAGCCACAUUGGGACUGAGACACGGCCCAAACUCCUACGGGAGGCAGCAGUGGGGAAUCUUGCACAAUGGAGGAAACUCUGAUGCAGCGAUGCCGCGUGAGUGAAGAAGGCCUUUGGGUUGUAAAGCUCUUUCGUCGGGGAAGAAAAUGACUGUACCCGAAUAAGAAGGUCCGGCUAACUUCGUGCCAGCAGCCGCGGUAAUACGAAGGGACCUAGCGUAGUUCGGAAUUACUGGGCUUAAAGAGUUCGUAGGUGGUUGAAAAAGUUGGUGGUGAAAUCCCAGAGCUUAACUCUGGAACUGCCAUCAAAACUUUUCAGCUAGAGUUUGAUAGAGGAAAGCAGAAUUUCUAGUGUAGAGGUGAAAUUCGUAGAUAUUAGAAAGAAUACCAAUUGCGAAGGCAGCUUUCUGGAUCAUUACUGACACUGAGGAACGAAAGCAUGGGUAGCGAAGAGGAUUAGAUACCCUCGUAGUCCAUGCCGUAAACGAUGUGUGUUAGACGUUGGAAAUUUAUUUUCAGUGUCGCAGCGAAAGCGAUAAACACACCGCCUGGGGAGUACGACCGCAAGGUUAAAACUCAAAUGAAUUGACGGGGACCCGCACAAGUAGUGGAGCAUGUGGUUUAAUUCGAAGAUACGCGCAGAACCUUACCAACACUUGACAUGUUCGUCGCGACUCUAAGAGAUUAGAGUUUUCGGUUCGGCCGGACGAAACACAGGUGCUGCAUGGCUGUCGUCAGCUCGUGUCGUGAGAUGUUGGGUUAAGUCCCGCAACGAGCGCAACCCUCACUUUUAGUUGCCAUCAUUAAGUUGGGCACUCUGAAAGAACUGCCAGUGAUAAGCUGGAGGAAGGUGGGGAUGACGUCAAGUCCUCAUGGCCCUUACGUGUUGGGCUACACACGUGCUACAAUGGUAUCUACAACAGGAAGCAAGACUGCGAAGUUGAGCAAAUCCCUAAAAGAUACCUCAGUUCGGAUUGCACUCUGCAACUCGAGUGCAUGAAGCUGGAAUUACUAGUAAUCGUGGAUCAGCGUGCCACGGUGAAUGCGUUCCCGGGUCUUGUACACACCGCCCGUCACACCAUGGGAGUUGGUUCUACCUUAAGGCAAGGUUUUAAACCCUUGACCACGGUAUAGUCAGCGACUGGGGUGAAGUCGUAACAAGGUAACCGUA
rnacentral:rRNA from 1 species